CUGGUGUACUAGAUUCAUGGGAAGGCAUAAUAUGGUACUGAGGCAAAAGACGAAAAUUGCCCAGAAAUUACCUGCAGAUCUUGAUAGCAAAGUACAUAGUUUCCAUCGAUACGUAAUACAGCAGCGCACUAAACAUGGCUAUGCGUUAAGUAGUAUUGGAAAUAUGGAUGAAACUCCAAUGAAUUUUGAUAUGGUUGGAAAUAAAACUGUCCAUCAAAAAGGUGAAAAAACUAUUUUAAUUAAAACAACAGGACAUGAGAAGUCCAGUUUUACAGUGGUACUAGGAUGCACAGCUGAUGGCGCCAAACUGAGACCAAUGAUUAUUUUUAAAAGAAAAACAAUGCCGAAACUCAAGUUCCCUGUUGGUUGUUUUGUACAUGUGAAUGAAAAAGGCUGGAUGGAUGAAGAAGGGGUAAAGCUGUGGCUUGAUAAUGUAUGGAGCAGGCGACCAGGUGGACUUAUUAAAAAACGUAGUCUACUGGUGUGGGAUAUAUUUAGGGCUCAUUUAACUCCCAGCACCAAGCAAAGGCUUGCAAGACUAAACACAGAUGCGGCAGUUAUUCCUGCAGGAUUGACAUCGUUGGUACAGCCACUGGAUGUGUGCCUAAACAAGCCAUUUAAAGAUCGCAUUCGAGAACAGUGGAAUGAAU